UAAAGCCAGGAGAGGUACAUGAUUUACUUCUUGGUGAGAGGAGUUUGAUUUUGGAGGACUCCAGUUGGGGAAAGCUGAGUUGGACAAAUCACGACUACAGAUGACCCGAGAUGGUCUUUCCAAAGGAUGUGGUAAAUUCAUGAGGACUGGUCUGUCAGCAGCAGUUUCUCUUCAGUUCUCUGAAGCAGCUUCUUCAUUUUCCCCCAUUUGGGCUUCCCCCAUGCAAUCUUCCAAGUGGAAGAAUACAGGUAUGGAAUGAAAAAUGGACAUAGCUGUCUUUCAACCAAUAGUUCCCCGGAGCAUUUAUUUCUACCAUAGGAGAAAAAUGGAUGUUCAAUGGGUGUCCAGUGGAUAGAGGAACAGGGAAUGCACACAAUAGCCCACUUUUCUGACCCCACAUAAGGUUCUUCCACCUAAAAGUCUAAUUUUAAAAAACUUGAUUGUACCCAUGUAUAUCAAUCAUUCUUUGAUGUCUUAUCUUUUUUCCUAGAAUGGCAAUAGUUCAUACAGUACAUUUUAUGUUGUAAAUAUCAGUGAAUAUUGAAUUAUGAGGCUCAGUUAGAUAGAUCAAGCAAAAUAGUAAAAUUGCUUGGUUACCUAGCUGAGUUCUUUUCUGAUACCAAAUGUUAUUUGAAUUAGGGCUGGACAACCCACAAGGCCACGACUGAGCUCUAACACACACACACCCUUUGAUCAGGGUAUUGAAUUUUGAUUGUGCAAUUUUUGAAAAGUGAGAGUGUGGUUUCUCAAAAUUUUAAUCCAUAAAUAUAAAGAACCUUGUUGUGUAAGCCUUUGAUAUAGUUUUAAUCUGGUUUAAAAACCAACUGGAUUGGUUUUAAAAACCAACCAACUCUCUCUACACCCCUAAUCAGGAAACUUUAACUCCAUGAACUAGCCUCAUCACCUCUGUCACUGUAACCUCCCCCAAAACAAAUAAACGUGGUUUCCAGUAACAUAAAGGGAGUCCACCUACUGUAUGAUCUACAUGAAGUUAAACUCGUGUGGAGUAAGUUUCUGUAAAACAAACAAUGUUUUAUUUUCCUCAAGACUUUUACUUCAUCUGCACAUAAUAUUACAUUCCAUUGGGCCCAUCAUGAGGUCAAUCGUGCUGAGGAAGGUCAUUCCUGCUAAGUUUUCAGAAGGCAAGAUAGUCUACCAAUGCUCUUCCAUUGAGUGUUUUGGACAUAAGAGGCAUUAAGGAGCUACAGAAACUGAUAACUCUGGGAAAAAGACACACUCUUAUUACCUGCUUAUAAUAAGAACGCAGAAGAUCAAAGACAAAGCCACGAUUCAUGAACGACAGCAGAUCAUUGAGAAAAAAGGCCAGGCUACUGUUGAGAUGCUCCACCAGUUCCACAUCCUAUGGAAACAGCAGAACUAUUUAUGAAUUGGUCCUACUUAAAAUGCCUUUGGUACACAGAGUGCAGCAGCAGAGUGCGGAAAUUAAAGAAGGUUUUUCAUACUCUCCACACCUGAUGUGGAGGUCCGAGCACAGCAGGCAAAAUGCAAAUACAGCCAGGCCUAUACAAUAAAACAUGGAUCUUAUUAUA